rnacentral:rRNA from 1 species
AUGUCCAGCGAGCCGCCGCCGCCGCCGCCAGCAGCGAAACCUCCGUCCAUCCCCUCCACCACUGCCCUCGCCACCGCCGCCGACGGGACCACCACCAUAUCCUCCCUCGGCCAAGACCAACUUCUCGACAUCUUCCUCCGCCUGCCCAACCUCCCGGAUCUCGUCCGCGCCGCGCUCACCUGCCGCCCAUGGCUCUGCGCCGUCCGCUCCUCCCCGUCCUUCCGCCGCCUCUUCCGAGCCCUUCACCCAGCGCCCCUCCUCGGGAUCUUCCUCAAAGUGGACGACGACACCGCCCCCUCCUUCGCACCCCUGCGCCGCUCGGAUCCCGUCGUCACCGCCGCCCUCCGCCGUGGCGACUUCUUCCUCACCUCCCUCCCGCUGGACGACGCCUGGACUGUCACGGACUGCCGCGACGGUUACGUCCUCCUAUGGAAUACUCUCUGGGCCGUGGCUGUGGUGAACCCCAUGACCUGGGCUGUGGACGUCAUCUCCUUCCCCGAUGAUGUCGCGGAUGGGAGUCUCAGCGAUUUCGGCUUCCUUGGUUUCCACCUGCUGACUUCCGACGAGAAUCCCCGGUCGUUCCGUGUGGUCUGCCUCUGCGCCGACGUCUCUAGGGUUCGUGCUGCCGUCUUCUCGUCGGAUACAAGGGGUUGGGCCGUCCACCCAUGGGUGGAGAUCGGUGGUGAAAACAGCCUCAAGUACGGUGCAGGCACGAUGGUGGACGGUUCAGUUUACUGGCCUUUCUAUGCCGAAGGACGCAUUAUCAAGAUCAACACUGCCUCCUCUGUGGAUCUACCCUCACACACAACUAUUGAUUACACUAAGGAUGGUCACCUAUGCAUUGUCUAUGCAUCUCAUGAUGACUUCCUCCUCCAUGUUUGGAUCCGUGGUGUAGAUGGUGAUGGAAUUGGGAUUUGGGUGCCGCAGAACAUACUCUCUUUGAGUGAAGAAAUUGGUCGGGUAACUCGGGGCUGGCUGGGCCACCUUAGGGUUGUGCAAGUUAGGUCUGGAUAUGUCUACUUGUCCAUGAAAUGUAUUACCCCUGUUGGCAUACUCCGCUGCUGGUUCUUAUUCCUUUCAUUGGAGACCAUCAAGAUUGAGUCGCUCAUCCACGGGACAUUUGGGGACUGUGCCUAUCCGUACGUUAUGGCAUGGCCUCCUUGUUUGAUUGGUUGUGAUGGGAGCAGCACUGGGCAUGAAGUUGAAGCUUCUCACUGA